rnacentral:misc_RNA from 1 species
GAUGAAGAACGUAGCGAAAUGCGAUAAGUAAUGUGAAUUGCAGAAUUCAGUGAAUCAUCGAAUCUUUGAACGCACAUUGCGCCCGCCAGUAUUCUGGCGGGCAUGCCUGUUCGAGCGUCAUUUCAACCAUCAAGCCCCCGGCUUGUGUUGGGGACCUGCGGCUGCCGCAGGCCCUGAAAACCAGUGGCGGGCUCGCUAGUCACUCCGAGCGUAGUAAUACAUCUCGCUCAGGGCGUGCUGCGGGUUCCGGCCGUUAAAAGCCUUAUUUUACCCAAGGUUGACCUCGGAUCAGGUAGGAAGACCCGCUGAACUUAAGCAUAUCAAUAAGCGCAGGA